UAAAAGCCACACUUGUGGGGUCAGCUGGCUAUCUUGGUUUUGGUACUCCUCAUCUGAAGAAAACAAGAUCUGUUGCAUACUUUUAAACAUUUCUAUAAUGACAUCUGCUUGCAUUUACCAAGCUAUUGUAGCUUUCGUCGCUCUCACAGCAUGGUCUUAAGCUGAAGAGUUAGCUACAAAUGGUGCUUGCAGCAUUAGUACUUGUCAUCGGCCUUCUAUUAUAACGAAUUCAACUACUUUCUGCAAUCUGGCUGAGAAUUACAUCAAAUGUCUGAAUGACAAUGUGAUCAAUCAACACUGCGGCCUGAAAAUAACACUUUUGGCAAAAGGCCUAAGAGCUGCUGUGAAAGUCCUCAUGAAGAAAAUGCACUGCAAUCAAACAGAGACAGCAACAGCUACAAAUGGUGGACCAUGCAAUGUGGAAUCCUGUGUCUAUCCUCACAUUAACUCCAAAUCUUUCUGCCAUGAAGCCACUGAGUACAUAAACUGCAUACAAGAACACAUCUUUGAUGUCGACAACUGUCGUUGGGAACAGCUUGAAACUGGGUAUUUCAAGAGUUUCUUACUCUCAGCUGAAGUGGUGGAUACCAAAAAAUGCCCAGAUAAUCCUAAGGAACAGCAUGGCAACGUGGCACAUUGUUCGGUGAAAUGCCUACACGAGUAGGUCAAAUCGUGUCGAUGAGAAGAUAGCUCUGUGUUUCUAUCUAACAAAAUAUCAUUUCAGUUUUACUCUUUACUAAUUAUAGUUAUACAAAAUGGAAAUCAUCAUAUUUUACUAUUAAAACAUUUAGACCAUGUUGCCAUUGGAAAUGUAAUACAAAAAUUAUUAGUAAAGAAAGGUAAGCUAGUUAAGCUUUUAAGAAGAAAAAUGUAAUUUUUGUUUCAAAAUUGCCGUACAUCUAAAAAAUAAAAGGUAUCAAAGUUAUCA